rnacentral:rRNA from 1 species
GUCCACGCCCUAAACGAUGCACACUAGUUGUUGUGAGGCUAGACCUUGCAGUAAUGCAGUUAACACAUUAAGUGUGCCGCCUGGGGAGUACGGUCGCAAGAUUAAAACUCAAAGGAAUAGACGGGGACCCGCACAAGCGGUGGAGCAUGUGGUUUAAUUCGACGAUACACGAAGAACCUUACCUGGACUUGACAUAGUAAGAACUUUCUAGAGAUAGAUUGGUGUCUGCUUGCAGAAACUUAUAUACAGGUGCUGCACGGCU